rnacentral:rRNA from 1 species
UACGGGGGGGCAAGCGUUGUUCGGAAUUACUGGGCGUAAAGGGCUCGUAGGCGGCCAACUAAGUCAGACGUGAAAUCCCUCGGCUUAACCGGGGAACUGCGUCUGAUACUGGAUGGCUAGAGGUUGGGAGAGGGAUGCGGAAUUCCGAGGUGUAGCGGUGAAAUGCGUAGAUAUCUGGAGGAACACCGGUGGCGAAGGCGGGCAUCCUCGGACCCAAUUCUGACGCUGAGGAGCGAAAGCCAGG